UGAGCUGGCCGGGCGGCCGCGAGGAGGUGACUCCUCGAGGAAGGUCCGGGCUCCGAAGGGCAAGGGUGGUGGGUAACGCCCACCCGGGGUGACCCGCGGGACAGUGCCACAGAAAGCAAACCGCCGCCGCGCUUGCGCGGAGGUAAGGGUGAAACGGUGGUGUAAGAGACCACCAGCGUUCCGGGUGACCGGAACGGCUCGGUAAACCCCACCCGGAGCAAGGUCAAGAAGGACCGUCGCGAGACGGUCUGCGCGGAUGUUCGAGGGCGGCCCGCCCGAGUCCGCGGGUAGACCGCACGAGGCUGUCGGCAACGGCAGCCCUAGAUGGAUGGUCGCCGACCGCGACGCCGCGAGGCGCGCGGGGACAGAACCCGGCCUACAGGCCAGCUCAUCCC
rnacentral:RNase_P_RNA from 1 species